rnacentral:rRNA from 1 species
UUAAGCGACUAAGCGUACACGGUGGAUGCCCUGGCAGUCAGAGGCGAUGAAGGACGUGCUAAUCUGCGAUAAGCGUCGGUAAGGUGAUAUGAACCGUUAUAACCGGCGAUUUCCGAAUGGGGAAACCCAGUGUGUUUCGACACACUAUCAUUAACUGAAUCCAUAGGUUAAUGAGGCGAACCGGGGGAACUGAAACAUCUAAGUACCCCGAGGAAAAGAAAUCAACCGAGAUUCCCCCAGUAGCGGCGAGCGAACGGGGAGCAGCCCAGAGCCUGAAUCAGUGUGUGUGUUAGUGGAAGCGUCUGGAAAGGCGCGCGAUACAGGGUGACAGCCCCGUACACAAAAAUGCACAUGCUGUGAGCUCGAUGAGUAGGGCGGGACACGUGGUAUCCUGUCUGAAUAUGGGGGGACCAUCCUCCAAGGCUAAAUACUCCUGACUGACCGAUAGUGAACCAGUACCGUGAGGGAAAGGCGAAAAGAACCCCGGCGAGGGGAGUGAAAAAGAACCUGAAACCGUGUACGUACAAGCAGUGGGAGCCUCUUUAUGGGGUGACUGCGUACCUUUUGUAUAAUGGGUCAGCGACUUAUAUUCUGUAGCAAGGUUAACCGAAUAGGGGAGCCGAAGGGAAACCGAGUCUUAACUGGGCGUUAAGUUGCAGGGUAUAGACCCGAAACCCGGUGAUCUAGCCAUGGGCAGGUUGAAGGUUGGGUAACACUAACUGGAGGACCGAACCGACUAAUGUUGAAAAAUUAGCGGAUGACUUGUGGCUGGGGGUGAAAGGCCAAUCAAACCGGGAGAUAGCUGGUUCUCCCCGAAAGCUAUUUAGGUAGCGCCUCGUGAACUCAUCUCCGGGGGUAGAGCACUGUUUCGGCAAGGGGGUCAUCCCGACUUACCAACCCGAUGCAAACUGCGAAUACCGGAGAAUGUUAUCACGGGAGACACACGGCGGGUGCUAACGUCCGUCGUGAAGAGGGAAACAACCCAGACCGCCAGCUAAGGUCCCAAAGUCAUGGUUAAGUGGGAAACGAUGUGGGAAGGCCCAGACAGCCAGGAUGUUGGCUUAGAAGCAGCCAUCAUUUAAAGAAAGCGUAAUAGCUCACUGGUCGAGUCGGCCUGCGCGGAAGAUGUAACGGGGCUAAACCAUGCACCGAAGCUGCGGCAGCGACGCUUAUGCGUUGUUGGGUAGGGGAGCGUUCUGUAAGCCUGUGAAGGUGUGCUGUGAGGCAUGCUGGAGGUAUCAGAAGUGCGAAUGCUGACAUAAGUAACGAUAAAGCGGGUGAAAAGCCCGCUCGCCGGAAGACCAAGGGUUCCUGUCCAACGUUAAUCGGGGCAGGGUGAGUCGACCCCUAAGGCGAGGCCGAAAGGCGUAGUCGAUGGGAAACAGGUUAAUAUUCCUGUACUUGGUGUUACUGCGAAGGGGGGACGGAGAAGGCUAUGUUGGCCGGGCGACGGUUGUCCCGGUUUAAGCGUGUAGGCUGGUUUUCCAGGCAAAUCCGGAAAAUCAAGGCUGAGGCGUGAUGACGAGGCACUACGGUGCUGAAGCAACAAAUGCCCUGCUUCCAGGAAAAGCCUCUAAGCAUCAGGUAACAUCAAAUCGUACCCCAAACCGACACAGGUGGUCAGGUAGAGAAUACCAAGGCGCUUGAGAGAACUCGGGUGAAGGAACUAGGCAAAAUGGUGCCGUAACUUCGGGAGAAGGCACGCUGAUAUGUAGGUGAAGCGACUUGCUCGUGGAGCUGAAAUCAGUCGAAGAUACCAGCUGGCUGCAACUGUUUAUUAAAAACACAGCACUGUGCAAACACGAAAGUGGACGUAUACGGUGUGACGCCUGCCCGGUGCCGGAAGGUUAAUUGAUGGGGUCAGCGCAAGCGAAGCUCUUGAUCGAAGCCCCGGUAAACGGCGGCCGUAACUAUAACGGUCCUAAGGUAGCGAAAUUCCUUGUCGGGUAAGUUCCGACCUGCACGAAUGGCGUAAUGAUGGCCAGGCUGUCUCCACCCGAGACUCAGUGAAAUUGAACUCGCUGUGAAGAUGCAGUGUACCCGCGGCAAGACGGAAAGACCCCGUGAACCUUUACUAUAGCUUGACACUGAACAUUGAGCCUUGAUGUGUAGGAUAGGUGGGAGGCUUUGAAGUGUGGACGCCAGUCUGCAUGGAGCCGACCUUGAAAUACCACCCUUUAAUGUUUGAUGUUCUAACGUUGACCCGUAAUCCGGGUUGCGGACAGUGUCUGGUGGGUAGUUUGACUGGGGCGGUCUCCUCCUAAAGAGUAACGGAGGAGCACGAAGGUUGGCUAAUCCUGGUCGGACAUCAGGAGGUUAGUGCAAUGGCAUAAGCCAGCUUGACUGCGAGCGUGACGGCGCGAGCAGGUGCGAAAGCAGGUCAUAGUGAUCCGGUGGUUCUGAAUGGAAGGGCCAUCGCUCAACGGAUAAAAGGUACUCCGGGGAUAACAGGCUGAUACCGCCCAAGAGUUCAUAUCGACGGCGGUGUUUGGCACCUCGAUGUCGGCUCAUCACAUCCUGGGGCUGAAGUAGGUCCCAAGGGUAUGGCUGUUCGCCAUUUAAAGUGGUACGCGAGCUGGGUUUAGAACGUCGUGAGACAGUUCGGUCCCUAUCUGCCGUGGGCGCUGGAGAACUGAGGGGGGCUGCUCCUAGUACGAGAGGACCGGAGUGGACGCAUCACUGGUGUUCGGGUUGUCAUGCCAAUGGCACUGCCCGGUAGCUAAAUGCGGAAGAGAUAAGUGCUGAAAGCAUCUAAGCACGAAACUUGCCCCGAGAUGAGUUCUCCCUGACUCCUUGAGAGUCCUGAAGGAACGUUGAAGACGACGACGUUGAUAGGCCGGGUGUGUAAGCGCAGCGAUGCGUUGAGCUAACCGGUACUAAUGAACCGUGAGGCUUAACCUU